UGCUUCUGGUCAUGGUGUUUUCAUCAUAGGAGUAGAUACCUAACGAACACAGGUCUCCUGGGACUGGAACAACAGACAGUCGUUAGCUGUCGUGGUUGCUAGGAAUGGAACCCAGGUUCUCUGCAAGUGCAGCCAAUGCUCUUAACUGGAGGUCUCUUUGCGGUUCCAGUAGUCAUUGUCUAAAUAAUCUUGUUGGGCUGCCCAUACAAGAAGCCCAGUAGCAAGAGUGGCUGAAAUGUCGUCGGUAUUAAAGAGGAAUUGCAUGUAAACUGGUUCACUAUACAUGCUUUGUGUGGCUGGUCUGCUGCUCCACACCCAGGCUAUUAAACUUCCAUCUCAGUAUUGAGUGGUCUGUGCACUGUGCCUUCUCCCCGUCUCCUGUCAGUACUGUGUUUUCCGCUCUCUGCCCAUCCUUUUCAGUUGUAUGUGUGCUGGUUCUGCUUGUGGCCCUCUUGGGCAGGCCCUUGUCUCAUUCUGCAUCCUUCCACAUUGCGCACACACCUGCAUUUCACCAGGCAAAAGGCUUUCCAAAGAACAUUCUUCCUUCCUCUUUUACAUAUAGAUAUCUUUCUGUCCAGGGGUCAGCAAACUCUGACUGGCUACAGGCAACCUGCCU
rnacentral:lncRNA from 1 species